AUGUAUGGUGGCUGGCUGGCUGGCUGCAGUAACCUGUUCCUGAAAUUUUCAUCCUUGCACAUUCGAACAACUUUAUUAUGUCGUUUGGCAGGUCCAGCAGCAUUUAGACCACGUGUAAAUGCAACCUCAGUAUAUAGCUCACUAGUGGAGAAUGGCCGCCCUGUACUACAAGGGCUUCUGGCUGUUGAUAUAAUUGCCAAAGAGGUUCUUGGUUGGGUUCAAUUGAUGCCGAUCUAUGCUGCUGAGCUUGUUGAGUAUGUUCGCACCUUUCUGGAACGUACACACGAAAGAUGCCGGGCAUCAUAUAUGGAGGCUGUUCUUGAGAAACAAAGUUAUAUUCUCCUCUCACGGAGUGAUGUUGAAAGUUUAAUGUGUCUGGACCCUGCAAAUGCUUCUUUGCAAAACUCUUUUGGUCAACUUGAUAACGACAUUCCAGAUGCAGGAAUCGAAGUGGAGAUUGAACUAAGUGAUCUCCUAUUGGAUAUGUGCCCGAUAAAACAGGAAAACUUGAUCCAUGAUGACCAGAAAUUGAUAUUGCUGGCAUCUCUUAGCGACUCCUUGGAAUAUUUAGCAGAUUCAGUUGAAAGGCUUGGUGAGUCAUUUAUAAGUCCAUCCACCAUCUCAGAAAACAAAAGUGACAUACACCAAAGUCACCAUACUCGCACAACUAGUGCAAUUCCGAAAAGCCUUGCGUCUCUUGCUAAUGAGUACAGAAGGCUAGCAACUGAUUGUGUUAGAGUCUUGAGAUUGGAAAUGCAGUUGGAGACAAUAUAUCACAUGCAGGAAAUGACAAAAAGAGAAUAUGUAGAAGAUCAAGACGCUGAAGAUCCUGAUGACUUCAUCAUCUCUCUUACAACUCAGAUUGCACGUAGGGAUGAAGAAAUGGCUCCUUACAUCGCAGAAUCAAAAAGGAACUAUGUAUUUGGUGGGAUUUCUAGUGUUGCUGCUAAUGCAUCAAUAAAGGCACUCGCACUAAUGAAGUCCAUCAACCUGUUGGGAGUUCAACAAAUAUGCAGAAACUCGAUAGCACUAGAACAGGCACUUGCAGCCAUACCUUCCAUUGAUAGUGAGGCAGUCCAACAGAGAUUAGAUCGUGUUCGGACAUUCUAUGAGCUACUAAACCUGCCUUUCGAGUCUUUGCUUGGGUUCAUUGCUGAACAGGAAUAUAUUUUUUCUGCAAAAGAAUACUUGAGCAUACUAAAGGUCAAUGUACCUGGUAGAGAGAUACCAAUGGAUGCUGAACGACGUAUCUCACAGAUUUUGAGUCAUUAA
rnacentral:rRNA from 1 species